AUGCAACCCAUCACCGGUGUCGCAGCAGCAAGCUCCCCACCGAGAGAGAAUGAAGGCCGUCGCCGUCGCCUGAGGAGAGGGUUGGCACGGCCGCGUCGUCGGAGGUUCUGUCUCGGCGGCGCGAGCCCCUCCACCCGUCUCCUCACGCACGGGCGUGUCAUCGUCGCUGGUUCCGCGCCGGAUGGAGGCGACGGAUCUGGUUGGGAGGACCCGGAGGAGCGUGCUCGAUCUGCCAUGGCCGUCGCUGGAUCUCCCUCUCCUCCUUCCCUUGUCAUGUCCUGUGAUGAGAGCGUAGCCCGGCGGCAAGGUCCGUCCGAGGAACAGAAGAGGGUCGGCAGUGGGUGGCGGCGCGGGUGA
rnacentral:rRNA from 1 species